ensembl:lncRNA
AAAAAGUGUGUGUGUACCUUCAGUAUUUUGAGGACAGGUUUGUAAGUGAUCUAAAUACACACGUUUUGGGGACAUCCAGGGACAUCCGCAUUUGUAAAAAUUAGUUAUAUGUCACAAUACACUCGGAGAGCAAGGUACAAGGAGUUCAAUAUCACAGUCUUUAAUAAUCCAAUCACAAGGGGAACAUAGGAGACACAUGGAACACAUGGAAGGACGUUCAGAACCAACAAACACUGACCGAAAGGACUAGGGCUUUUAAACACGAUGAUUUGGGAAGAACUAGACACACCUGGAAUCAAAUUAACACAAUCAAUGGGAGACAGAAGGAGGAGCACAGCAGGACCCAGGGCACAGCCAUAAUAGCGGCCCACGGUGGAGCCGAUGGUGGGAGGAGCCAUGGAGGAGGUAUGGCAGCCCACUCCAGGGGGCUGACCAAUGGCGGUGGAGCAGGUGGAGGAGGAGCCCGAGGCGGAGAUGGAGAGCCAAAGAGCCAGGCUGGCGGGAGGAAGCAGCCCAACAGAGCCGGUGGGAUGGAGUGAAGAAGGGGUAGCCAGAGGAGAGGAGUCCAGAGGCGAUGGUGGGUCAACGGCCAAUCAAGGUGGAGCCAGAGGGACGAAGGAGCCCGGUGGAGCAGAUGGAUCGACGGCUGAUGGUGGAGGCGAGGGAGCUAGAAGCCGAGGUGGAGCUGCUGUGUCUACGGGCUGAGGUGGAGUCGGGGCUUCGGAGCCUGGAGGUGAGGGAUACUGGAGGAUGACAGUCCCGUGGGGCUCGCACUGUAAUGAUGGUGGGCUGAUGGCGAGCAGAGGGGCAGAUGACAGCAGUGGAGGAGGCUGGAGCGGGUGGGAGGCUGGGCAUUUUCGAGGAGCGGGUAUUGGAGGGUGCUCUAAAUUGGAUUUGGGGGCUGGAGCCCUCCCCUCUUCAUUUUGGCACCAAUGCCGCACCAUACUCAGCCGCGAUGCAGUGGGUGGAGCUCCUCUCCACACUCACACCAUCCACAGCUUUCUUCCUCGUGGUGGGCUCUGUAGUCGGCUCUCGCACCUGGUCUGAUGGAUUGGGCUCAACUUCCGGGGCGAUCCUCUGCUCAGUCGAUUGGCUUUGCUCUGGCUCGGAGAUCACAGUGGGAAAUGGCUCUCCGUCAUCAGUGGGCUCAGGCUGAUGCUUCAUACUGCGGGGGAGAUGGUGGGCUGGGCUCUGGGUCAGGAAUGGCACUGGCGAUAAACUCCUUGGAACCGCCGGGGAAUGGAGAUCCAUUUCUCGCCAGUGUCCACUCCACAAAGGCGUGUGAUGGAAAUGUUACUCCCCUUGCCUUACUGUGAUGCCGUGUCCCAGUCAGAACACCGGUGCUACAAGACAAAAACAAUAAAACCCAUUACAAUAUAGCCAUUGGUUUCAUCCAGUGGGGACAUAAUUCCGGAUUAUAAUGACUUAUACUGUGUUUUUACACGUUGCAUUGUGCCACGUAAACAUAAAACCAUGUCUUCAUUCGUGAUUAGAGAAACGACAAACAACAAGCGCUUACGUUACUCUACACCAGUGGUUCUCAAUUCCAGUCCUCGCGCCCCC